UCUCCGUUGGUGAACCAGCGGAGGGAUCAUUACAGGAUCGAAAGACUCCUAUAACCCCUGUGAACUUACUACAAAUACGUUGCUUCGGCGGGUGCCCCGGGUCUCCCGGGGCGUUCAGCCCGCCGGCAGCCUUCAAAUUCUGUUUCUUUGCGUUGGCAUCUCGAGUAUACAAAAAUAAGUUAAAACUUUCAACAACGGAUCUCUUGGUUCU
rnacentral:misc_RNA from 1 species